rnacentral:rRNA from 1 species
GACGAACGCUGGCGGCGUGCUUAACACAUGCAAGUCGAACGGGUCUGCCCUGUUUUUUGCGGGGUGGGUCAGUGGCGAACGGGUGAGUAACACGUGAGUAACCUGCCCCUCACUUCUGGAUAACCGCUUGAAAGGGUGGCUAAUACGGGGUGUUCUGGCUGUGCCGCAUGGUGUGGCUGGGAAAGAUUCACUUUUGUGGUGUUUUGGUGGGGGAUGGGCUCGCGGCCUAUCAGCUUGUUGGUGGGGUGAUGGCCUGCCAAGGCUUUGACGGGUAGCCGGCCUGGGAGGGUGGGCGGUCACACUAGGACUGAGGUACGGCCCAGAAUCAUGCGGGAGGCAGCAGUGGGGGGUAUUGCACAAUGGGCGGAAGCCUGAUGCAGCGACGUCGCGUGAGGGAUGGAGGCCUUCGGGUUGUGAACCUCUUUCGCCGGUGAAGAAGGUCCUGCUCUUUGUGGUGGGGUUGACGGUAGCCGGGUUAUGAAGCGCCGGCUAACUACGUG